UACGGAGGGGGCCAGCGUUGUUCGGAAUCAUUGGGCGUAAAGGGCGCGUAGGCGGCCAUGCAAGUCGAGUGUGAAAGCCCCGGGCUUAACUUGGGAAUUGCGCUCGAAACUACGUGGCUGGAGUGUGGCAGAGGAAGGUGGAAUUCCACGUGUAGCGGUGAAAUGCGUAGAGAUGUGGAGGAACACCAAUGGCGAAGGCAGCCUUCUGGGCCAACACUGACGCUCAUGCACGAAAGCGUGGGGAGCAAACAGG
rnacentral:rRNA from 1 species